rnacentral:rRNA from 1 species
UGACUGAGUGGCGGACGGGUGAGUAACGCGUGGAUAACCUGCCUCACACAGGGGGAUAACAGUUGGAAACGGCUGCUAAUACCGCAUAAGCGCACAGCACCGCAUGGUGCAGUGUGAAAAACUCCGGUGGUGUGAGAUGGAUCCGCGUCUGAUUAGCUGGUUGGCGGGGUAACGGCCCACCAAGGCGACGAUCAGUAGCCGGCCUGAGAGGGCGACCGGCCACAUUGGGACUGAGACACGGCCCAGACUCCUACGGGAGGCAGCAGUGGGGAAUAUUGCACAAUGGGGGAAACCCUGAUGCAGCGACGCCGCGUGAGCGAUGAAGUAUUUCGGUAUGUAAAGCUCUAUCAGCAGGGAAGAUAGUGACGGUACCUGACUAAGAAGCUCCGGCUAAAUACGUGCCAGCAGCCGCGGUAAUACGUAUGGAGCAAGCGUUAUCCGGAUUUACUGGGUGUAAAGGGAGUGUAGGUGGCAUCACAAGUCAGAAGUGAAAGCCCGGGGCUCAACCCCGGGACUGCUUUUGAAACUGUGGAGCUGGAGUGCAGGAGAGGCAAGUGGAAUUCCUAGUGUAGCGGUGAAAUGCGUAGAUAUUAGGAGGAACACCAGUGGCGAAGGCGGCUUGCUGGACUGUAACUGACACUGAGGCUCGAAAGCGUGNGGAGCAAACAGGAUUAG